GAUGAACGCUGGCGGCGUGCCUAAUACAUGCAAGUCGAGCGAACAGACGAGGAGCUUGCUCCUUCGACGUUAGCGGCGGACGGGUGAGUAGCACGUAGGUAACCUACCUAUAAGACUGGGAUAACUUCGGGAAACCGGAGCUAAUACCGGAUAAUAUUUCGAACCGCAUGGUUCGAUAGUGAAAGAUGGCUUUGCUAUCACUUAUAGAUGGACCUGCGCCGUAUUAGCUAGUUGGUAAGGUAACGGCUUACCAAGGCAACGAUACGUAGCCGACCUGAGAGGGUGAUCGGCCACACUGGAACUGAGACACGGUCCAGACUCCUACGGGAGGCAGCAGUAGGGAAUCUUCCGCAAUGGGCGAAAGCCUGACGGAGCAACGCCGCGUGAGUGAUGAAGGUCUUCGGAUCGUAAAACUCUGUUAUUAGGGAAGAACAAACGUGUAAGUAACUGUGCACGUCUUGACGGUACCUAAUCAGAAAGCCACGGCUAACUACGU
rnacentral:rRNA from 1 species